rnacentral:rRNA from 1 species
AACCUUUACACUGCACGACAGUGCGAUAGGGGGACUCCGAGUGCGAGGGCAUAGAGCCCUCGCUUUUGUACACCGUAAGGUGGUGUACGAAUAAGAACUGGGCAAGACCGGUGCCAGCCGCCGCGGUAAUACCGGCAGUUCGAGUGAUGGCCGAUUUUAUUGGGCCUAAAGCGUUCGUAGCUGGCCGAUCAAGUCUGUCGGGAAAUCUGCUCGCCUAACGAGCAGGCGUCCGGCGGAAACUGAUCGGCUUGGGACCGGAAGACUCGAGGGGUACGUCCGGGGUAGGAGUGAAAUCCUGUAAUCCUGGACGGACCACCGAUGGCUAAAGCACCUCGAGAGCACGGAUCCGACAGUGAGGAACGAAAGCUGGGGUCUCGAACCGGAUUAGAUACCCGGGUAGUCCCAGCUGUCAACGAUGCCCGCUAGGUAUGGCGCAGGCUACGAGCCUGUGCUAUGCCGUAGCGAAGGCGCUAAGCGGGCCGCCUGGGAAGUACGUUCGCAAGAAUGAAACUUAA